CGGUGAGUUUCUAUUUCUUGGUAAUUCGGUUUGUAAAAUGACUAUUAAUUACAAGCACAGCAUCAUCAACGGUGAUUGCAAGAACUACUGCAAUCCCUGCGGUUUUUCCUCUUGGUAAAUGCGUUCUGGUCGUGACCAAGGGUGGUCUCCCAAUCGGUCGGGAAUAAGGCUAUUGUUGCAGAA